CUCCUACGGGAGGCAGCAGUGGGGAAUUUUGGACAAUGGGCGCAAGCCUGAUCCAGCAAUGCCGCGUGCAGGAUGAAGGCCUUCGGGUUGUAAACUGCUUUUGUACGGAACGAAACGGCUUCUUCUAAUACAGGAGGCUAAUGACGGUACCGUAAGAAUAAGCACCGGCUAACUACGUGCCAGCAGCCGCGGUAAUACGUAGGGUGCGAGCGUUAAUCGGAAUUACUGGGCGUAAAGCGUGCGCAGGCGGUUAUGUAAGACAGAGGUGAAAUCCCCGGGCUCAACCUGGGAAUUGCCUUUGUGACUGCAUAGCUAGAGUACGGUAGAGGGGGAUGGAAUUCCGCGUGUAGCAGUGAAAUGCGUAGAUAUGCGGAGGAACACCGAUGGCGAAGGCAAUCCCCUGGACCUGUACUGACGCUCAUGCACGAAAGCGUGGGGAGCAAACAGGAUUAGAUACCCUGGUAGUCCACGCCCUAAACGAUGUCAACUGGUUGUUGGGUCUUCACUGACUCAGUAACGAAGCUAACGCG
rnacentral:rRNA from 1 species